rnacentral:tRNA from 1 species
AGGCGUGUAGCUCAACGGCAGAGCACAGUCCCAGCCCCGACGGAGGGGUGGCGGGACGAAAGAGCCGGUUCGACUCCGGCCACGCCUG